CCUACGGGAGGCAGCAGUAGGGAAUCUUCCACAAUGGGCGAAAGCCUGAUGGAGCAACGCCGCGUGGGUGAAGAAGGUCUUCGGAGCGUAAAACCCUGUUGAUAGAGAAGAAAGUGCGUGAGAGUAACUGUUCACGUGUCGACGGUAUCGAACCAGAAAGCCACGGCUAACUACGUGCCAGCAGCCGCGGUAAUACGUAGGGGGCAAGCGUUAUCCGGAUUUCUUGGGCGUACAGGGAACGCAGGCGGUCUUUUAAGUCUGAGGUGAAAGCCUUCGGCUUAACCGGAGUAGUGCCUUGGAAACUGGGAGCCUUGAGUGCAGCAGAGGAGAGUGGAACUCCAUGUGUAGCGGU
rnacentral:rRNA from 1 species